GUGAAUCAUCGAAUCUUUGAACGCACAUUGCGCCCGCCAGUAUUCUGGCGGGCAUGCCUGUCCGAGCGUCAUUU
rnacentral:rRNA from 3 species